CCUACGGGGAGCAGCAGUGAGGAAUAUUGGUCAAUGGACGAGAGUCUGAACCAGCCAAGUAGCGUGAAGGAUGACUGCCCUAUGGGUUGUAAACUUCUUUUAUAUGGGAAUAAAACGUUCCACGUGUGGGAUUUUGUAUGUACCAUAUGAAUAAGGAUCGGCUAACUCCGUGCCAGCAGCCGCGGUAAUACGGAGGAUACGAGCGUUAUCCGGAUUUAUUGGGGUUAAAGGGAGCGUAGGUGGAUUGUUAAGUCAGUUGUGAAAGUUUGCGGCUCAACCGUAAAAUUGCAGUUGAAACUGGCAGUCUUGAGUACAGUAGAGGUGGGCGGAAUUCGUGGUGUAGCGGUGAAAUGCUUAGAUAUCACGAAGAACUCCGAUUGCGAAGGCAGUUCACUGGACUGCAACUGACACUGAGGCUCGAAAGUGUGGGUAUCAAACAGGAUUAGAUACCCCUGUAGUC
rnacentral:rRNA from 1 species